GGGGGGGGGGGGGGGGGGGGGGGGGGGGGGGGGGGGGGGGGGGGGGGGGGGGGGGGGGGGGGGGGGGGGCCGCACGCAGGUACCGCUCCGCUCCCGGCGCCUCCGUCGGCUUUUCAUUCACCCAGCGCCACAGCUCCCCCCCGAGCGCCCUCCCAGCGCCUCCUGAAGCGCUUCCCAGUCCCACAGCUCCCUCUGGACCCACUCCCAGUUCCCCUUGAACACCUUGUGUUUUCCGCAGCUCCUCCCGAACGCUUUCCCAGUUCCCCCUGAGCCCACUCCCAGUUCCCGAGUUCCCCCCUGGAUCCCCUCCAGUUGUCUCCAGUUCCCCAAAACCCCCUCUCAGUCUCCCAUUUCUCUCUGAAUCUCCUUCCGAGAUCCUCUGAAUUCCUCCUGAACACCCACUCAGUCCCUCAAAUCCCUUCCCAGUUCCUCUAUUUUCCCCUGAACCUCCUCCCAGUUUCCCCUGAGCCUUUUCCCAGCCCCAUGGGUCCCCCUGAACCCCUUCUCAGUUCGCCCUAAACCCCCUCCCACUUCCCCCAGUUUCUCUGAAUGGCUUCCCAGUGCCCCCAGUUCCCCCGGAGUCCCCUCCCAGUUUCCCCAGUCCCCCCAGGUACUCUCGGUAACGCUCUGGGUCACAGCUGGCUCAGGCCGGCUCCGGCCCGGGGCCGUUCCCGGGGGGCGGCUCCAAGGGCGAAGCUCCGGGCGGGUCUCUGCUCCACGAGCGGCUCCUGCAGCUCCAGAACGCGCUGGCCGCCGGCGAGACGGACCGGAGGCUGCUCCAGGAGGGGCUGGAGGAGGCGCGGCGGGGGGGGGGGGGGGGGGGGGGGGGGGGGGGGGGGGGGGGGGGGGGGGGGGGGGGGGGGGGGGGGGGGGGGGGGGGGGGGGGGGGGGGG
rnacentral:lncRNA from 12 species